rnacentral:rRNA from 1 species
UGCAAGCCGCAGCGGUAAUACGGCGGGGGUUCGCGUUGUUCGGAAUUACUGGGCGUAAAGCGCACGUAGGCGGAUUAGUAAGUUAGGGGUGAAAUCCCGGGGCUCAACCCCGGAACUGCCUCUAAUACUGCUAGUCUUGAGUUCGAGAGAGGUGGGUGGAAUUCCGAGUGUAGAGGUGAAAUUCGUAGAUAUUCGGAGGAACACCAGUGGCGAAGGCGGCUCACUGGCUCGAUACUGACGCUGAGGUGCGAACGCGUUGGGCGCAAACAGGAUUAGAUC